rnacentral:lncRNA from 1 species
ACCAGUUGAGAAGGAUAAAUACUUCCAUCAUCAUGCUCUUAGGGUAUCCAUCCUGGUUGAGGGGGAAAUAACCUUACCUGUCACGAUGGGGUAGAAACCUUGGCAGACUACUAUGCAGCUGAUCUUUCUCAUGGUUCAGGUCCCAUCCACCUACAACACCAUAAUUGAUCGGUAGCUCAAUGCCCUCUGGAUAAUAGUAUCAGUGUACCAUCAUUUGGUGAG